rnacentral:misc_RNA from 1 species
GAUGAAGAACGUAGCGAAAUGCGAUAAGUAAUGUGAAUUGCAGAAUUCAGUGAAUCAUCGAAUCUUUGAACGCACAUUGCGCCCCCUGGUAUUCCGGGGGGCAUGCCUGUCCGAGCGUCAUUACAACCCUCAAGCUCAGCUUGGUAUUGGGCCCCGCCGACCCGGCGGGCCCUAAAGUCAGUGGCGGUGCCGUCCGGCUCCGAGCGUAGUAAUUCUUCUCGCUCUGGAGGUCCGGUCGUGUGCUCGCCAGCAACCCCCAAUUUUUUUCAGGUUGACCUCGUAUCAGGUAGGGAUACCCGCUGAACUUAAGCAUAUCAAUAAGCGGAGGA